rnacentral:rRNA from 1 species
UGUGCAAAGGUAGCAUAAUCAUUUGGCUUAUAAUUGAAGUCUUGUAUGAAAGAACUAAUGGGUAAGAGCUGUCUUAAGAGGUUUCAUAGAAAUUGCUUAGCACGUGAAAAUACGUGCAGGGAAUUAAUAGACGAGAAGACCCUAGAAAUUUUAUUUAAGAUAUAUAUUAUAUAUUAUUAUUUUGUUGGGGCGACAGAAUAACAUUAAACUUAUUUUAUUUAUUUAUUUGAACUAUGUGAUGAGUAAAACUAAAUUACUCUAGGGAUAACAGCAUAAUUUAUACAAGUUUGUGACCUCGAUGUUGGACUAGGGAUUUUAUCGUUUAGAAGACGCCGAAACAAGCUCUGUUCGAGCUAUAUAUCCCUACAUGAUCUGAGUUCAAAUCGA